GAAGUGAUGGAUAGAGAUGUAAUUUUACAUGGUAUACAACUUUCGAAGCAAUAUGUACAAGAUACUUCAAGCCAUUUGUGAGGGGUAUUUUAAGACACCUAGGGGUAAACUAGGGUUUUCACCCAUUGAAUUGAAUGGGAUUCCAUGCUGGCCUGCAAAUAUGAACCGUCUCACCUUCAUACCCACACACCGUUACAAAUCUCUCCUCAAAUUCUCUACGAAACACCUCAUGAAACCCUUCAUCAUCCAAACGCACAAGCACAUCUUCAUCAUCAUCUUCUGCUUCCAAAUUGUGUUGGAUUCCUCCCAAAUCUUCUACCUAGGGUUCCGAUUGAGAAUUCCAGAGGCAUGUUUUUGGAUUUGAUUAUGUUUGGUAAUGAUGAUAAUCGAAUGAGACUGAUCUAUACCCGUGUUUCGAAGGGUAAUCGAUGUUUAAAAAGACGGAUUGAAACAACCCCUCUUCAUCUCGCCAGAACCCUAAUCGAUUCGUCAACCACCACAUCUGCAGGAAUCAAGCAUAUUUCUAUAGUCAAUUGGAGCUUUAUAAGCAUGUGAUUAAGGAUUGCAAUAAGGCGCUUCAAAUUGAUUCUACUCUUCUUCAAGUUUAUACCCUAAAAGGUUUUUUGUUCUUAUUUUGUUUUAAGUUGUUGAUUGAAUGAUUGAUUACCUUUGUUAAUUAACAUGGGCAAUUAGAUGUUUGCAAUGUUAACAAGAUACUGAUCUUAUUUGUUUUUACUGUGAUUAGUGUCCUCGAUUUCAGUUCUAUUAACUGGUCGAGAAAUAAGAAAUUAAUUUCUUUGAUCUUCUCAUGUUACUACCAAGUUUAAAGUUUAAACAAUGUCUAUGGUCGGCAAGCAUUGAUAGACGAUCUCAAGAACGAUGACAUCCAACUACAGUUGAAAUCAAUUAAAAGACUAUCAAAAAUUGAUAGGUGAUGAUUGUUCAGGGACAUCAAUCGGCACGAGUAAUGGUUUUUUGGAAUUGAGCAUAGGCAUAAUUCCAUUAGAAAUUCAUUAAAUUUGUUCAUUCAUUAUCAUCUUGGUUAUUUCAUCUCUUUCAUAUUAGUUUCAAGAUCGAAUCUUUCAUAGUCUACUUGGUGUUUUCAUCACCACGGGAAAAGAUUACCAGUUAACGUUACUGAUAUAAACAAAAACAGAAUCAUGAAACUGAAAAAAGCUUACCUAAGUACUCGCCGGAACCCUAGCAUUGACCAGAAUCUGAUUUGUCGCUUAAUCGAUUCACCAUCACUGCAGCGAAUUGGAUCUUAAUCUAUAUAUUAGACAGAUAUUGAGAACCUGUUGUUUCCGUCCUAUCACCGAUGCCGACAAUUGAAGCUGUUACCCAUGUAGUUAUAAGAUAAUUGAUUAUGAUUGUUAUGUUGUUAGUAUGACUGGCUGCAGAUACAGGUGAAUUGAUUUAGUUUUGAUCCGGCGUAAGACAUUGAAUAGGAGCAAACAUGCUAUUAUCUAACCCGUGUCAAUCAUCAGCUUCAAAAUGACAACUUACAUGAAACUCCGCCUCGGUAUUGCCCUUCAACUGAGGACAAGAGAUGAAGGCGCACCUGUCUGAUAACUCUGCGAUGCAGCGAUGCCAAUGACCCUUCUGUUCAAAAAUCAUAUGGGUUAAACAUUAUUCAGAACUUGGGGUGUUAAAUGGGGCAUGUUUCCGGAUUGGCUUCAGAACUAGGGGUGUUAAGUGUAAAUUGUUCGAUCUUUUUUACGAAAAUAUCCGGUUAUGCAGAUGGUUCUCCUGUUAUUUGGGUCUCAACAGAUCUUGCUGACUAUGACUGUAAAGCCGGCAACAAGCUACAAGAAAUUGUUCGAUCUUUUUUACGAAAAGGCUCGUGCAUGUGUUGAAGUCUACAAACGGUUGUCGAAAUCUGCGGGUGGCAACCCGGAUAUGAGCCUAGAUGAACUACUUGCUUCACUUGUUCGUUCAAUGAGUGGGAGUAAAAACUUCCCCAUGGUGUGUCAAUCCGGGACUUGAUCAAAGCAUUAAAGACAAAUAUGCCGCUAUCGAGAUUAUAGCCAAAAAGUGGACACUUUACCAAGGCUAUGGAGGUUGAAGCUAAAAAGAUGAGAAGGGAGGCAGCUGCAGUGGAGGAGGUAUCUGCUACGUGUGUCGACAAAGAACAUGCUUAUUGCAGAAAGUAUGAGUGAAAUCUGAUAUACAUGACGCAGGGUUUGGGGCCAUAAUUGAGGAAUUGUGGAAGGAACCGGCAUGCUUACCAAAAUGGUAGUCAAACUGAUAGUAAAAAACAGUUUCAGCCUGGUCUUGAUAAAAUGACAAGUGGAGAAGAUACCCGAACAACUUUGAUGAUUAAAAACAUUCCUAACAAUUAAGACAAAGAUAUCAUUUUGAUUAUUAUUGGCAUUUACAGAUUGAUAGUGAUGUUCA